rnacentral:rRNA from 1 species
GUCCACGCCCUAAACGAUGUCAACUAGGUGUUGGGGAAGGAGACUUCUUUAGUACCGCAGCUAACGCGUGAAGUUGACCGCCUGGGGAGUACGGUCGCAAGAUUAAAACUCAAAGGAAUUGACGGGGACCCGCACAAGCGGUGGAUUAUGUGGAUUAAUUCGAUGCAACGCGAAAACCUUACCUACCCUUGACAUGCCAGGAAGAUCGCAGAGAUGUGAUUGUGCCCGAAAGGGAACCUGGACACAGGUGCUGCAUGGCUGUCGU